rnacentral:rRNA from 1 species
UACGUAGGUGGCAAGCGUUAUCCGGAAUUAUUGGGCGUAAAGCGCGCGCAGGCGGUUUCUUAAGUCUGAUGUGAAAGCCCACGGCUCAACCGUGGAGGGUCAUUGGAAACUGGGGAACUUGAGUGCAGAAGAGAAAAGCGGAAUUCCACGUGUAGCGGUGAAAUGCGUAGAGAUGUGGAGGAACACCAGUGGCGAAGGCGGCUUUUGGUCUGUAACUGACGCUGAGGCGCGAAAGCGUGGGGAGCAAA